AGAAAAAAAAAAAAAAAACGUAACAAUAUAACGAGAAUUGCUCAAACAUGUGCAAAGGCUGCUAACUAGUUGGAAAAUAGAUCAUUGGAAAAUACCUGGCCAACAACAACAAUCUGUUGAAUAAGAGCACUUCUCAAAGCAGCUUCCUCAAGCUCCGAGGGCUCAACAUUUUCACCUAUUUUCCCAAAAGAAAGUUGGCUAGUUAAAUGCAACUUGCUUUGAUAUGCAUAGUCACAUCAGAGAAAAAACACAAUGAGAAUAAGUUCGACCACAAAUAGAGUUGAACCAAAGAAUCCUAUUCCAACAUUAGAGUCUCCUUUCGCAUUCGAUGAAAACAUAAGUUCUGAAAAUAAAUAAAGUAGCCAAAAACUUUGAACAAUUUCGAAUCGAAAGAGAAUACCAAGAGCAUAAUUUAUAAUUAUAUAUGGCAUAAUCAUGCAGCUAUUAUAGAUACUCUUUAUAUUACAAAAAAUGUACCACCGAAGCAAAGUUACAAAAUGAAGAUUGACAAAAUACACGUUGAGAAAUUGAUUAUUAAUGCUAACCACAAAUUUCAUUCUACGAAAAGUCCAACAAUUAUAUGCAUCAAGCAGUAGUACAUAAAUGGAGAAAGCGGCUGAUGACUAUGCAUUAACCAAGGGUUCAUAAAAUGCUUUCCAACUGAUUCUGAGUGCAUAUCGCUUAAAACGAGGUGGCAUCUCUGGAGAGAGAAGAUUCAAAAACUGCAAUGUUGUACAAAGAAAACAAAUAUACUUCAAGCAUACCUGUUGAAAGAACUAUGGUAUCCUUAGCUCGCCCUUCAAGGACAAUAACACCUCCACAAUGACGGCUUCUCCCUACUGAAUGAUGAGGAGCAAUCCAACCUAUAUCACCAGUAUUUAGCCAACCAUCCUCAUCUAACACUUGCUUUGUGGCCAUUGGAUUCUAAUGGAACAUUAAUACAAACAUGUUGCAUAAUUAACAAUUUGGGGCAAUUAUUGUGACUAAAAUUUGUUAUGCUAAUUAAUAGAAAAAAAAACAAAAAAAUAAAACAGUUGGAAGAAAAGAGAAAAAAAAAAAAAGAACUCCUGAAUAAAUACUAGAAGAGUUCAUGGACAUGAUUGUAAAUUUUCAGUUGCUCAAAUAAAAGUAAAUAUAAGUUAUUUCACAAGUACCAUUGUUGGCAUGAGGUAAUAAAUGGGAUACAUAUCGUAAAAAUAUGGAAUAAGUACAACAGGAUGAAUCAUUCCAUUUCUUGUUUGGUUAGAAGACUAAAAGAUUCAUUCCAUUUCUUUGUUCUGUUCCAACAAUAAAAGAUUAAUGUAAUUGGAAAUAUUCAUACUUGAUAAGGCUAAUUGAAAAGGGAAACGCAAUUUGAAUUUUACUUGUAAUACUAUAGACUGCGAUUUGCACUAAAUUCACAUAUACGACUCAAAAUAUGUUGCAUAUCUUUAAUAAUAGAACAGAAUACCAUGGGUCGUAAUUCUAACUUUUUAUUGCAAAAAGUACAACAAAUGUGACCAAGACCCAUCAACUAUUUCUAAUCAUGGUUUCCCAAUAUUUUAUCGCAUAUCUUUGUAACAACAAUAUUGUCGCUUAACUAAUAAAUUUGUAAUCACAAACUAUUCUUUAUUUGGAUUUUUAGAAACUAAUGCAUUUUUUAGGGUAAAUUACACUUUAAUCCCUAAAUUUUAGCAUAAUUAACGGAUCGACCUGUAUUUUUAAAACCGAACACUUAAAUUCCUCUAUAAUCAGUCCGUCCAAAUUAGAGGUCUCUCCCUCCAUUUUUGCCGUUAAAAGUGUAGAAAUGUCUUUAUUAUCCUUUUUAAAUGGACAAACUAUACUUGAGUCAUUGAGUUUUAGCAUAAUUAAUGGAUCGGUCCCUUUUUUUUAAAAGUGUACAGGUAAAACCUUCUAUAAUCAGUCCAUCCUCAUUUAUUAUUGUUGAAUCCCACAUCGGUUGUAAAAAGAGGUAAUGUGCCCCUUAUAUGAGCCAUAGGCACUCCUCCCCCUUGAGCUAGCUUUUGGAGUGAGUUGGGUCUGAUCCAAAUUUAACAUGGUAUCAGAGCCUCCCCAUCCGAUGUUGGAUCUCCCAUAUAUAUGUUACGCAUCAAUAAAAUUCUGGGCGUGAGGGAGUGUACUUGAAUCCCACAUCGGUUGUGGAAAGGGGUAAUAUGCCCUUUAUAUGAGCCAUAGACACUCCUCUCCCUUGAGCUAGCUUUUGGGGUGAGUUAGGUCUGACCUAAAUUUAAC
rnacentral:lncRNA from 1 species